UUGAGUAAACACCAGUGGGUAAGACUGGCUCUCUGGAGCAUUGUGUCUUCUUGCUGUCUCAAUUCAUCCACCUGUGCACCUUUUGUAGUCUUGUUGAGGAGAGUGACUAGAUUCCCAUGUAUGUGGGUUUAUGGUCUGAUCCUCUCAGGUCUAUGUUUUUCAUAACACUAUAGUAUGUUGCAGAAUGUAAUCAUUGGGCCAUGUGCCUUUAAAACUAUAAUA
rnacentral:misc_RNA from 1 species